rnacentral:lncRNA from 10 species
ACUCUCUCUCCGGCUCUGCCAUGGUAAGAUGUGACUGCUUCCCCUUCACCGUCUGCCAUAAUGGAGUACAGCAGGUGCUAUCAGUAUCCAGCUAACUUCUUGUAGGCCCUCACAGUUCUCAAACAUGCUGAAGGCUUAUUCUAAGCAAUGGGACUCACUACUUGAGGGCUUCCUCUGGAUGCACUUUGCUCAAUGUGGACCUGGCCAGGAAUGCUAGCAAGAUAACAACUCCAGGAACAUCCAUACCAAUGACAAAUAGGAAUUGGUAGACAGAUAAUUCCUACCUCCUUGCUCAACAAGUGAGACAACUCUAAGGGAUGUCUUGCCUUUAAAGAAAUUCACAAUAUGUUAUACCCUUGGAUAAUCUCCUUCACUUGAGUGUGGGCAGAACCUGUGACUUAUUUCUACUCAAUAAAUAUAACAAAUAAGAUGGUAUACACAUACCUGUGGUUAUAAGACAUAUCUUUGCAGAUUAGCAUGAGAGAUUCUCCUGCUGGCCUUGGAGAAGUGAGCUGCUAUGUUGUGAGAGGGCCAUGUGGUAAGCAACUGUGGAUCAUCUCUAGGAGCUGAGGCCUUCAGUCCUGUAGCCACAAGAACUAAAUUUGGCCAUCAACCACAUGAGCUUGAAGAGGAACACAAGCUCCAGAAAGAAAUGCAGUCUGGCUGAGACCGUGUUUGAAGUCUUGUGAGACUAUGAGUAAAAGACUCAGAUAAACUCUGCCCGGACUCAUGACUUACAGAAUUUGUUUAAAAUAAAAAAAAGCAGUUGGGAUUUUGAUAACAGUAUGUUGAAAAUGAUCAAUUUGGGGAAUUUUGCCAUCUUAACAAUAUUAAGUCUUCCAAUCCAUGAACAUGGAAUGUCUUUCCAAUUAUUUAUAUUUUUAAUUUCUUUCAAUGAAGUUUUGUAGUUUUCAGUGUACAGGUAUUGAACUAUUUUGCUAUUUUUGGAGAUAUUUUAUUCUUUUUGAUGCUAUUGUAAAUGGAAUUGAUUUGCUUCAUUUUUAGAUUAUUGCCGGUGCAUAGAAAUACAAUUGAUUUUAUACUUUGACCUUGUAUCCUGCAAUCUUUCUAAAUUUGUUUAUUCAUUCUAUUAGUGUUUUAUUGAAUUCCUAAAAUUGUGUUACAUACAAAAUUGUCAUCUGCAAAUAUAGUUUUACAUCUUCCUUUUAGGUCUGGCUGUCUUUCAUUCUUUUUUCUUGCCUUAUAUGCCUAGCUAGGAACUAUAGUACAAAUCUGAAUAGAAGUGGCAGGAACAGACACUCUUAUCCUGUUUGUGAUCUUAGGGGAUAUGCAUUUACUCUUUCACUAUUAAGUAUGAUGUUAUCUGUGGGGUUUUUUUUCUAAUAGAUAUUCUUUGUCAUGGGUUAAAUUUGUCCUCCAAUAAGAUAUGUUGAAGUC